rnacentral:rRNA from 1 species
GAGUCUUAACCGGGCGUUAAGUUGCAGGGUAUAGACCCGAAACCCGGUGAUCUAGCCAUGGGCAGGUUGAAGGUUGGGUAACACUAACUGGAGGACCGAACCGACUAAUGUUGAAAAAUUAGCGGAUGACCUGUGGCUGGGGGUGAAAGGCCAAUCAAACCGGGAGAUAGCUGGUUCUCCCCGAAAGCUAUUUAGGUAGCGCCUCGUGAAUUCAUCUCCGGGGGUAGAGCACUGUUUCGGCUAGGGGGCCAUCCCGGCUUACCAACCCGAUGCAAACUGCGAAUACCGGAGAAUGUUAUCACGGGAGACACACGGCGGGUGCUAACGUCCGUCGUGAAGAGGGAAACAACCCAGACCGCCAGCUAAGGUCCCAAAGUCAUGGUUAAGUGGGAAACGAUGUGGGAAGGCCCAGACAGCCAGGAUGUUGGCUUAGAAGCAGCCAUCAUUUAAAGAAAGCGUAAUAGCUCACUGGUCGAGUCGGCCUGCGCGGAAGAUGUAACGGGGCUAAACCAUGCACCGAAGCUGCGGCAGCGAACGUAUCACCCAAGACAACUUUACGGAGUUGACGAUUGACGGAGCGAAGCGACGUCAAAGCGUUCAUUAAAGUCGAGUUGGCUUAGGGAUACGUUCGUUGGGUAGGGGAGCGUUCUGUAAGCCUGUGAAGGUGUGUCGUGAGGC